CGGAUCUGAGCUAACUUUGUCAGUGUCAUGUACUAUACACAAGAAUUGACCUCCAUGAUUCUGACUGACCUCCGUGAUACAUAUAGAGUCCUCUCUGGUAUUCUGGGACACAUGAUAUAACCAUAUGUGGAUGAUUGGAAAGUUAAUUCUGCGGUCUUCUUCCCAUUAGCACUUCACAUGUAGUGAGACCAUUUUGAGAUGAUGUGAGACAUAGUUGACUGUACUUAGCUGAACUAAGUAAUUUAUCUUCAAUAAGAAUUUGACUGUCCUGACUCCUUCCCCAGCUUCUAUAUUUUCCUGAAUGAACUGACAAUGUGUAUAAAACUAUAAAGGCAUUCCGAACCAGUCAUUGGCAAAACUGGGUGUUACCGUCUGAUAUUGCUAAGUCUGGAAUGCCAUACAUAGCUAAACUUCCCUUGAGUAAAGUCAUCACAAUUUUUGAAGUGGAACCAUACAAGUAUUUAACUUCAAUCUUUUGGAAGAAAUCAUCAAGAACUUAAAGAAUGAUGUUCUCGUUGAGCUCAAAGU